rnacentral:rRNA from 1 species
CCUACGGGAGGCAGCAGUGGGGAAUAUUGCGCAAUGGGCGAAAGCCUGACGCAGCGACGCCGCGUGAGGGAUGAAGGUCUUCGGAUCGUAAACCUCUGUCAGCAGGGAAGAACGGUCACUGUGCUAAUCAGCAGUGAAUUGACGGUACCUGACUAAGAAGCCCCGGCUAACUACGUGCCAGCCGCCGCGGUAAUACGUAGGGGGCAAGCGUUAUCCGGAUUUACUGGGUGUACAGGGAGCGUAGACGGUCCUGCAAGCCAGAUGUGAAAGCCCGGGGCUCAACCCCGGGACUGCAUUUGGAACUGUAAGGCUAGAGUGUCGGAGAGGCAGGCGGAACUCCAUGUGUAGCGGUAAAAUGCGUAGAUAUAUGGAAGAACACCAGUGGCGAAGGCGGCCGCCUGGCCUGUUACUGACGCUGAGGCACGAAAGCGUGGGGAGCAAAUAGGAUUAGAUACCCCAGUAGUC